rnacentral:misc_RNA from 1 species
AUACAAUGUGAGCCUAAACAUAGCUACCGACCCGACUCGAUCCGAUCCAACGAAUAGUCAUUAUUGUAAAAGCCUAUAUAAUUCCUCAGCCAGCAAACUUGCAAGCUCUAACACAAACACGCACAAGAAUCAAUCAGGGGGGAAAACAAAUCAAGAUUUCUUCUAUUCUUCACUUGUAUUGCACACCCAUAACCAUGUCUCAGACUGUUGUGCUUAAGGUUGGUAUGUCAUGUGAAGGUUGUGUUGGGGCUGUGAAGAGGGUUUUGGGAAAAAUGGAAGGUGUGGAAUCUUAUGACAUUGAUUUGAAGGAGCAAAAGGUUACAGUGAAAGGAAACGUGCAGCCAGA